rnacentral:lncRNA from 1 species
UAGAUGUGUAUCCAGUGUUUCUUGUUUCAUUUCUCAUUUGUUCAAGAUGGGAGGAAAGGAGGCCACGGAGGAGAUAAGCCAACUAUGCUGCUUCAUAUUGGCCCCUGUGAGCACCAAAAAACAUGGUGAGACACCAUCUAGGUUCUUGCCUUUCAGAGUCUCCCUGUUCAUCUGAGGCCCCUCUCUUUAGGUUGAAAAGGGACCUGUCAGGGCCACAACCAUGUCUGAUGACUCCAAUAUAAGUGCUGUCUUUACCCUGGGGUCCAGAAUGAUAGAUGUCAUACAACUGUGUCACGACACAUUCUCAAUACAGGAAGUAAAUGUCCAUGAUAUAGGAUUAGAGGCCACUAUUCUGAGAACCUAGAGGAAGGCUGGAAUGAAGCACCUGGCCAGAUCCUCCCUGCAUUUCCACCAUCUUUGCCACGUGGAUCAUAAGCAACAUUUUGUGUAUUGGGAAAUCUGGCCAAGUUUAGUUUGCUGAGGUCAGUAGGAAUCUGGAUUUGUUCCUGAGUUUUGUAAGACCGGUCAUAUCCAGGUCUCUGAUGACAUGUGUGAUCUAAGAUAGCAUUAAGUUAAAUCCAUCCAGCUUACCAAAUUAAUCCCCUGAAAGCCUAUAUUACACUUCAGGGAUAGUCUUCGCAAGUUGCCCCAUGAGAAGAAAAUCGGCUUCCCUUCCACUCACAUCACUGACAAUUUAAGCAUCUUCUCUCCAAAAUUCUUAUUUCACCAGAGCUGGUCAUCAGCCAGCAAUGUUCAAAGACCAAAUAUAAGAACCUAAUUAUCUAGAAAUAAAUUUCCUGGUUUUGAUAAACAUUUCUACUUUCCUCCUACUUCUGGUCUACCUCAAAUUUCAUCCCAACCCCACUGUUUUAUUUCCCCCCAGGAAUUUAUCAGAAUAAUACACAGUAAUGGCUUGGGGGAAAAAUGCAUAAUAUACAAAUUUUAAGCUUCUAGUGUCCAGGCAAUAGGAGCAGCGUUGGCCAGCAACACCGUUACAUUUAACAGAAGAGGCAUAUGGACUUGCCCACUUGUACAUCUACCUCUAUGUUUAUAUUAGUUCUGCCACCAUCUGGAUAUUAGCACCAUAUUUCAAUAGCACCAUUCUGCUGAACGGAGAGAUAAUGCAAGGGGGAGGUGGGACACGGCUCUAGGGUGAAUAUUCGCUGUACCUCUGUGUGAGUCUGAAGACAUGCUGCCCAUUACACAAACGCCACACCUGCCUUCCCUUCUGUCAAGAGCUGGUCCUGAGGGCUUCUUGCUGUGGAGGCCCUGCCCCCCCCCUCAUUUUCCAGGUUCAGUUCAUGUAACUACCUCCCUUUAGAAACCAGGAAACUUGUCUUGAAUUUGAGACCACAGCCUCCUCUGAUUCCUGAUGGGUGAUGGGAACAUCCAGAAUAAGCAUUUACUUUCUUGGAUUCCCUGACUCACCUGUUUCCCUCAAAGAAACAGAUCCUCAAAAAAGGACUAUUGGGUCAGCGUUACCUCACUUUUGAAAAGUUUUUUUUUCUCUUGAGACUAGACGUUUAUACUAAGUUUUUGCAUACUUAACACAAAGUUUUUGUAUACUUAAUGCAAUUUACCUGGAUCUUGGACGUAUUUUAAACUAGAGCUCCACUUUUCAACCCGAAGGUAGGUAGGGGGUGGCCUGCAGCCACAGAGCAGGCUAUAGAAGUUGUUGUGCACAUUAAACCCCCGGAGGUGAAAAGAUGGGCACCCUGUGUGUUGAUGACUCAGGCAGAGAAUAUGCUAGAGAAGGGAAAGUCAGACCGGAAGAGUCCUUUGCUCCCUGCAAAGGAAUGGCCAUUUGCCAGGGAAGUGGGAUGAGUAAAGGCCCACAUUCUUAUUGAUUUCUGUUAAUUUUGCUUUUUAAGAGUUUUCAUAGAAAUUAUCCUUAAGUCAGAAAGGUCUUCUGGAGGAGAUAAACCAACGAUGCUGCUUCAUGUUGGCCCCCCGUGAGCACCAAAAACAUGGUGAGACACCAUCCAGGGUCUUGCCUUCAGAGUCUCCCUAUUAUGCUGAGGCCCCUCUCUUACUGCUAAAUAAAGAAGGGACCUGUCAGGGCCACAACCCGGUCUGAUGACUCCAACAGCAAGUUCCUUAGGUUUACUAAAUCCUACAGUUCCUCGCAUUUUCUCUCUUCUUAGGGUCUCCAGGUAGACAAGG